CUCCAUCUUGCUGAACGUUGCAGUUGGGUUUGGCAGAAUUGUUUUCCUGUCAAGGUGAUGAUCAAGGGGUAACAUGGUCAGAAGGCGAACCUGUAAUUAUUGAACCAAUUGUUGUCGCAAGGAAGAAUCCCUCACACCUUUACGGGGAUGCAUUAGAAAACAAAAGUCUUGGAAGAUAAGUAGUGGACACAGCGCUGAAACAUAUUAAGGCCAGAUUGCCUCGUUUAACAGCCUUAAGAGAACAAGGAAGUAGCCUGAAGUUAACAAAGGAAGACUUUUCCAACACAUCUCUGAAAUCCUGUCAUCUGCUACUUUCCCUAACACAUGUAAGAGAAACGGAACAGCCAACAUGUGCUACUGGAAAUCAAGCUAGGAAAGU